rnacentral:rRNA from 1 species
AACGAACGCUGGCGGCAUGCCUAACACAUGCAAGUCGAACGAGAUCUUCGGGUCUAGUGGCGCACGGGUGCGUAAUGCGAGGGAAUCUGCCCUUUGGUUCGGAAUAACUGUUGGAAACGACUGCUAAUACCGGAUGAUGACGAAAGUCCAAAGAUUUAUCGGCAGAGGAGGAGCUCGCGUGGGAUUUGCUAGAUGGUGUGGUAAAGGCGCACCAAGGCGACGAUCCUUAGCUGGUCUGUGAGGAUGAUCAGCCACACUGGGACUGAGACACGGCCCAGACUCCUACGUGAGGCAGCAGUGGGGAAUAUUGGACAAUGGGCGAAAGCCUGAUCCAGCAAUGCCGCGUGAGUUAUGAAGGCCUUAGGGUUGUAAAGCUCUUUUACCCGGGAUGAUAAUGACAGUACCGGGAGAAUAAGCUCCGGCUAACUCCGUGCCAGCCGCCGCCGUAA